GGGGUCAUAGCUCAGUUGGUAGAGCACUUGCAUGGCAUGCAAGGGGUCUGGAGUUCGACUCUCCAUGGCUCCACCA
rnacentral:tRNA from 1 species